rnacentral:rRNA from 1 species
UACGAAGGGGGCUAGCGUUGUUCGGAUUUACUGGGCGUAAAGCGCACGUAGGCGGAUCUUUAAGUCAGAGGUGAAAUCCCAAGGCUCAACCUUGGAACUGCCUUUGAUACUGGGGAUCUUGGAGUCCGGGAGAGGUGAGUGGAACUGCGAGUGUAGAGGUGAAAUUCGUAGAUAUUCGCAAGAACACCAGUGGCGAAGGCAGCUCUCUGGGACGGUACUGACGCUGAGACGCGAAAGCGUGGGGAGCGAACAGG